AUGCCUGAGAGGCGCAAGAAAGCUGCGGCCAGCGGCGAGGACCGCAUCAGCACCCUCCCCGACGCGCUCCUGCUGCACACGUUGUCUUUGUUGGCGUCGGAGGAGGCCGUGCGGACUUGCGUGCUCGCCCGUCGGUGGCGUAAUCUCUGGAGGUACACUCCCAGCCUGCGCCUCAUCCAUGACGACGACAUUGACGUCGACAUCGACGUCGACGAAUCAAGCCUCGUCCAUGACGACGACACCGACUUUGACAAGCCAAGGUUCAGCAGCGCGGAGCAUUUCAACAAGUUCGUGAGCCAUUUGAUCGUCCUCCGCCAUCGCUCCCCUCUUGUCAACUGCGAGAUUGAACUCUAUCCAGACGAGGAUCCUGGGACAUGCCAAUAUAUCCAAGCGGUCCAGCUAUGGAUCCAGUACGCUCUAGCGUGCCAGGUUCAGCUGCUCAAUAUUUUUGACAACUACGGCGACCAACGAUUGCUCCUCAAUGUUCCUUUCAUCUCCUCGUACCUGAUGACCGUACAUCUUCGGAAUGUUAGCUUAGAGUGCUCUAUGAAUCUCUCGAGCUGUCUGGUAUUGGAGAACCUGGAGAUGACACAUUGCAACAUUUUCAUGCACAAGAUAUCAUCCAAAUCACUCAAGCGUUUGAACAUGACGGAGUGUUUCUUCCGUACUGAAGUCCGCACUCGGUUCUCUUUCCCGGGUCUUCUUUCGCUGCAUCUAGAAGAUGGUGAUUUCAGGACUCCUCUGCUUGAAAACAUGCCAUUGCUUGAGACAGCAUUCAUUAGGUUGGAAGAAAGAUGUUUGGAUCGAUGUGAUAAUGGCGACGGAAAUUGUGAUCAAGAAAGCUGCGAGGGCUGUUAUGGUUUUCAUCAUUAUCAGAGUGUUCUUCUUAAUGGUUUGUCCAAUGCUAUCAAUUUGGAGUUGUUAGCUGAACCUAAAAAGUAUAUCUUCAGAAGGGAUGUGGCAUGGUGCCCCAUAUUUGGCAGGUUGAAGACUCUCGUACUCAAUGAGUGGUGUGUGGCUGUUGACAUGUAUUCACUAGUCCGUGUUCUCCAACGCUCACCAAUUCUUGAGAAGCUCACUCUGCAGAUUAAUAAUAAUAGGGACAUCAAAAGCGCAAUAGGAGUAGAAGGAAACCAUAUUCCAGCAAAACUAUCAUUUGUAUGCACACAACUUAAGGUAGCCAACAUUGAAUGUCAAGAGCUCAAUGAGAAGGUUUACAUAAUUUGGAAUAUUUUGAGGGCAUGUGGCGUACAUCCUGAGAAAAUUAGCAUCAAGAUCAAACAUACAGUCUCCAGUUUUGAUGGGAUGUAG
rnacentral:rRNA from 1 species